rnacentral:rRNA from 1 species
CGCUAGCGGCAGGCUUAACACAUGCAAGUCGAGGGGUAGCAGGGAGCUUGCUCCCGCUGACGACCGGCGAACGGGUGCGUAACGCGUAUAGAAUCUACCUCUUACUAAGGGAUAGCCCAGAGAAAUUUGGAUUAAUAUCUUAUAGUAUGUUAACUUGGCAUCAAGAUAACAUUAAAGGUUACGGUAAGAGAUGACUAUGCGUCCUAUUAGCUAGAUGGUGUGGUAACGGCACACCAUGGCAACGAUAGGUAGGGGCCCUGAGAGGGG